AUUAACGAGGACAGCAUCUGCCUUACAAGCAGGGGGUCGGGGGUUCGAAUCCCUCAUCACCCACCA
rnacentral:tRNA from 1 species